GCCGGAAUGGUCUAAUCGGUUAAGGCGUCGCCCUGGAAAGGCGAAGGUUGCGGGUUCAAUCCCCGCUCCUGGCC
rnacentral:tRNA from 1 species